UUGAAGCCCUGCUCCAGAAGCUCCAGCUCUGUCUGGCGAGGGUCCUUCCUCUGCAGUCUUCUCAAAGCCCUGAGAGAGGACGUUAAACACACACACUAGCUGAUUGGCUCACAUUGAGAAAGGCACACUAAAUACAGGUGUCAUCAAACCUGUUUUUGUGUUGGAUGUUGAUUAAAUAUUCAUCCAGCUUCUCCUCAGCCGAGGAGUGUUUCCCUCCCCUGCUCCUCCUGAGCUCCUGCAGACAAUACAACUCUCAGUCAAUCUGAACAAUAUCAGACACAGAGAAACAGAGACAUGCAACUUUUGUCUUCUCAAAAACAGUAAAUGAUGGACUGGAGUGCUGUGGAUGAUUGUGAUGUUUUUUAUCAGCUGUUUGGACUCAUUCUGACGGCACCCAUUCACUGCAGAGCAUCCAUUGAUGAGACACUGAUGCAUUUUCACCAAAUUUUACGAAAUUCCCCAAUCCGUCUUCAUCUUGAAUGGCAUCUGGAUACUAGAGAGGAGCGAGAAACCAGAAGAGAAGAGAGAAAACGGACAGAGAAGAGAAGAUAAAGUGUAAGUAAGGUUUACAGCGAACAAACUAGGAGUUUUGCUCUUGAUUUGGAAGAAGAUGAUUUCAAUACGCAGCUUGUGUGUUUCUGUCAGGUGUCCACUGCACAUGACGCAUCCAAUCACAAUUCAGAGAGGUGAUUAUGAUUACAAUCAUCAUCAUUUUUUGCUUUGUUCCUCCAUGUCAAAUUUGUGUUAUGCAUUACUUUAUUAUUUUAAUAUUUUCUUUUCGUUUUAAUUUAAGUUUAAGUCAUUUUGUUGU